rnacentral:lncRNA from 1 species
AUAGUUGUGAUAGGCCCAAGUUCUUUUAAUAUGAUUAAAAUGAUUUUGAUGUAGCCCAAAACUACUCCCUCGACAAACGAAUAUUAAGUUGAUAACCGAGAGAUGUUUUGAACAUCUCUUCGUAGGCCUUCCACCGUGGUGGGCUCCAAUCGUUUGUGACUCAUGCACCGGCUUCACCCUAUCAUGGGGAGUUCAAAGUAUGUGCUUACAUCCAGGAGGAGCCCAUAAACAUAUGAUGAGGUAAGUGUAGGCAACGAGGAUGGCCGAUAUCAUAUCAUUGUGAGGCUAUUCUUGAACCCCUUCAUGAACUAAGCAUGGUGG